GCCCGGAUGGCGAAACAGGUAGACGCAGCAGACUUAAAAUCUGCCGGCCUCACGGCCGUCCCGGUUCGAUCCCGGGUCCGGGCACCA
rnacentral:tRNA from 1 species